rnacentral:rRNA from 1 species
AAACCGUUCAGGGGUAAACCUGAGAAACCCAAAAGAUCGAUCGGGGAGAUUCACCGUCAGCGAGGCUGGCUUCGCGGUGGUUCGCGAUGUCCGGCGCCACGGCGCCGCGACACGCGUCCGCCGUGUCAAUGCCCAGUCGCGUCGGCGUGCACUUCUCCCCUAGUAGGACGUCGCGACCCGUCGAGUGUCGGCCUAAGGCACGGGAGCGAGCCUGUCACGUUGCGCCUCGCGGCGCACGGGGCAGAACCCCGUUGUCCCGACCGGCUGCUCGGCGGUACACGCACGGUAUCGGGCCGCAGACUCGUAGAGACUGCGUCCAGCCCGUCGCAAGCGACGGUCAGUGUAUACCCGGAGUGAACGGACCCGGUGCCGUCCCCGGGCCUGGCCCGCUGUUGGUCGACGGUGUCCUCGGACCGGCCAAGAACGCAAUACCGGUCGGCGACGCUACUGCUUUGGGUACUUUCAGGAC